rnacentral:rRNA from 1 species
UACGAAGGGUGCAAGCGUUAAUCGGAAUUACUGGGCGUAAAGGGUGCGUAGGCGGUUCGUUAAGUCUGUCGUGAAAUGCCCGGGCUCAACCUGGGAAUGGCGAUGGAUACUGGCGAGCUAGAGUGUGUCAGAGGAUGGUGGAAUUCCCGGUGUAGCGGUGAAAUGCGUAGAGAUCGGGAGGAACAUCAGUGGCGAAGGCGGCCAUCUGGGACAACACUGACGCUGAAGCACGAAAGCGUGGGGAGCAGACAGG